rnacentral:rRNA from 1 species
UACGUAGGGUGCAAGCGUUAAUCGGAAUUACUGGGCGUAAAGCGUGCGCAGGCGGUUCGCUGUGUCCUGUGUGAAAGCCCCGGGCUUAACCUGGGAAUGGCAUGGGAAACUGGCGGGCUGGAGUGUGGCAGAGGGGGGUGGAAUUCCGCGUGUAGCAGUGAAAUGCGUAGAGAUCCGGAGGAACACCAAAGGCGAAGGCAGUGUCCUGGGGAGUACCUGACGCUCAGGUGCGAAAGCCAGGGGAGCGAACGGG